UUAUGAUGAAAUUAAUAACCAGCAUAUAUAGGAAUUAAUAUUAUAUUUUAACAUUUAUUUUAAUUUCUUCAUGUCUUCCUUUUUUAUAGGGUUGCAGGUUGAUGACCAUGACCUUCACUCUAUUCUUGAAAACAUGGCAAUCAAACCUACAGUUGAGGAGCUUAAUGAUCUUACUCCCAAUCUACCAGUUGAUGCUAAUGGGAAGUUUGGUGUCAGUAUCUUAACAGAUGGAAUGGAUGGAGUAAAAGCUAUCACAGGAGGAAAGGUUAAUGUGAGUAAUUCGGACAGCGUUCUGGGAGAAAUGAGAAUUAAGCUCCCAGAAAAGGAACAGGAAAAACUAACAGAAAACCUGCUACUUAAUGAAGAGAUUAUUGAUGUCAAUAAAGUGGUACUCCUUUGCAAAAUAUGGGGAUGAACUUUUCAGAAAAGGAAAUUAAUGAUCUGAUACAUGAUCUACCAGUUGAUGGUGAGUAUUUAAGAUAUAUUUGAAUUGGUUAGUAUGGGCUUCUAUAAAAGAAUCUCUGAAAACUCUGGCAUUAAGAAGAUGGAAAUAUUAAAGGUGACUCAGACUACAUGUAAACAUGUUUUGCUCCUUGAUAUUUUCAGCAACUUUAUUUCUGCCUGGAAUAUGGCCAGUGCCACUAUUAGACCUGGACAGAAUUAGAGGAAGACAGUGCUGUGGGGGGAAGAGAAUGAGAUGCAUAAAAUAGAAGAAACUUUAACACAGGAAAAAUUUUUUAAAAAUUAUAGAACAUAGCCCAAAGUGGGAAAUUAUUUUAUUUUAUUUUUUUACUAAGCUCUAGGCCUUGAGCCCACCACCCCAAGAUCAGGAAUCACAUCCUCUAUCAACUGCAUCAGCUCUUAGCAGGAAGUUAUUAAAAUAGCAUUUCUGUCCCUACCAUCUUCAAGAACAUUUAAAAAGACAGAAUAAAGGAGGAAUGUGAAGUGUAGGACUUAUUUCCUACAGCAAAUGAACAAGACCAUGUCUUCCAGAUAUCCCAGAAGGGAAAAGGAUCACUCAGGCCUGAAUGUGUGGAAUGCCUGAAGGCCCAGCAGCACCACUUGAGCUUCUGCUUAAAUCCACACAUUCCUGAGCCAGACUCCAUGAUCCAAGGACUGUCCCAAAGUUCUAAUAUCCUUUGAUGGGCUAAAGGUAGUCUAACAUUGAAUAAAUUUUAGUAAAUUCUGAAUGGGGGCUAAAAGAAUUCUCAAAGUAAAUAAGCAAAAGUUCAAUAUUAGUCUGAGAACAUUAUAGUAGAGCUAAGAAGUAACUGUCUGGAACAUUACUUAACCAUCUUAUAACCUUAGAGGAAUCAAUACUUGCUUAUCCUAUUGAGGCACAUUUAAUUCCAUCAUUAUGUAAGGUAGACACUAUUCCCUCAAAUAUAUUUUUGUUAAUUUAUUUAAUUUACUCUAAUUUUUACCACUUAGUGUACCAGAAAGAAUAUGUAAGUGGUCUUCAUUGUCUUAUUUUCUUUACUUGCAAUGAAAUAAGAAAAACAGGA
rnacentral:lncRNA from 1 species